rnacentral:miRNA from 7 species
UUUCUUAAAGAAACAGAGCCACCUGUCCAGGUAUGGCAUUACCAACUGUAAGACUCCCUUUCGGGGACCCCCACUCUAGUCUCAGGAGAGAGAGCCCACCCAAAGAAACAUGAGAAUCC